ACUCCUACGGGAGGCAGCAGUAGGGAAUCUUCCACAAUGGGCGCAAGCCUGAUGGAGCAACACCGCGUGAGUGAAGAAGGGUUUCGGCUACGUAAAGCUCUGUUUAGUUAAAGAAGAACACGUAUGAGAGUAACUGUUCAUACGUUGACGGUAUUAACCAGAAAGUCACGGCUAACUACGUGCCAGCAGCCGCGGUAAUACGUAGGUGGCAAGCGUUAUCCGGAUUUAUUGGGCGUAAAGAGAGUGCAGGCGGUUUUCUAAGUCUGAUGUGAAAGCCUUCGGCUUAACCGGAGAAGUGUCAUCGGAAACUGGAUAACUUGAGUGCAGAAGAGGUAAGUGGAACUCCAUGUGUAGCGGUGGAAUGCGUAGAUAUAUGGAAGAACACCGAGUGGCGAAGGCGGCUACC
rnacentral:rRNA from 1 species